UAUCGCAUAGCAACAGGAGGUCAAUGUCUACAGCAGGCACAGUAAGUGAUUUAUUGUGAUAAAAUUUAACAUACUUUUAAAGUUCUAUUGAAAUAAAAAGUUCAAAUGGAUCGGGAUCCACGCCUAGUUUCCGGACUGGUGAAAAAUGAUACAAACAGCGUUAAUCAAAGAUGUAAUGAUGUAUAUUCCUAUUCAAUGGACCAGAAUGAUAUAGGGGUCUUGAACCAGAUGAAUGAUGAAAAAUUACAAGAAAAAACUCAGAUGUUAUACACAUCGAAAUACUGUUUUAACAAAGCAGAAGAACACUUCGAAGGAAUAUGCUCAGAAAAUGAAGAUAACGAAAUCGAUAAUACCCAGACGCAAACAUUCUCAUCAAAUACUGAUUUUUACCAGCGUUGGUGUUGGGUUGUUGUCUGUGCUGUCUUCGUGGGAUUUUCCUUACUUGCUGGACUUUUUUAUACUGUAAAUCUACAUUUUGUAGUUUUCCUGCAUGAAUUUCACGAGUCUAGAGCUCACACUGCGUGGAUAGGCUCCUUGUUUACUGCAAUGAUGCAACUAGGAGGCCCUUUUGCAACUAUAAUUAUCAAGGCAGUUGGCUGCCGGACAACAAUUAUUAGUGGGGCAGUUGGAAUGACAAUUGGAUAUAUUAUAAGCUCAUUCGCAACGGGAGUAAACUAUCUUAUAGUUUCUCUAGGAAUUUUUACAGCUUCCUGCAUUAGUCUGGUCUACAGUGGCUUCACAGUAGCUCUUGGUCUCUACUGUCAUAAAUACCAUGGUAUAAGUACUGGAAUUGCCUUUUCUGGUGUUGGAUUUGGAAUAUUUCUUUUUUCUCACAUGUUACAGAAUAUUCUGGAUGAAUAUGGAUGGAGAGGAAUGAUGUUUAUAGAGGCUGGCAUGGCACUAAAUGUUUGUGUUUGUGGAGCAAUGAUAUUUCCACUUCCCUCAACUAGCAGCCAAUCAUCACAGUUUGUUGAUGUUGGUAAGGAAACAUCACUCAUAGUUGUUGAAAAUGUAACUGACGAAGCAAAAGUGCAGACAUUUCUUAAAAAGAUUUGUAAUCAUUCCAAAUUCAGUAAACCUGUAGCUUUUGGAAGUGCUUUUCUUAGAGCAAAUUUGCUCUUUGUUGAUCCCAAAUUUACGUGUUUCAACAUAGCAUGCACUUUUUGGAUCAUGGGAGUAUUUGCACUUUAUGUGAUUUACAAAGACAUUGCCAUUUUCUUUGAUCAUGGGGAUCAGUUUUCAACUGUUCUAUCUUGUAUGGGUAUAGCAGACAUCAUUGGCAGGGUUUUAGUUGGGAUCAUAUCCACAAAUCCAAAGUGUCAUACUGUAGUUUAUUCAGUUGUAUGCCAUUUUGUAACAAGCAUUGCAAUAGCACUGCAUAUAUUUGCUAAGCCAUUUGAAGUCUUUUUAUCUCUUGGAAUUGUCUUCUCUUUUUGCUAUGCCAAGCAGUGUGUUAUACUUGCUCUAGCUCCAGCAGCAAUGUAUGGAAGGGAACGGUUAGCUGCUACAUUUGGAUGUUUGCUGUUUUUCUGUGGAUGUGGAGCUCUCAUCGGACCCCCUAUAGGAGGAUGGUUGAUGGAUACUACUGGUAACUGUACAGCAUUGAUUUGGUUUAGUUCUCUCUCUAAUCUUGGAGCUGCAUUCCUAAUGCUUGUUGUUUAUCUUCUUAUAAAGAAUGAAAAAAAAUGUGAACAGUUGAUGCUUCAAACAAAAGUAUAAGAAUUAAUUUAAUCGUGGGAUUCUUGUUUCGGAUGAACUGGCAUCUGAGGUUUCUUUUCUCAAGUAUAUUUUCAUGAAUUUGGUCAGAGAGUUUCCAUGAUCAGAGAACAAAAGCCACAUGUACUUCUCCAAACUACUUCCAGUGCUUAUUAAAAGAGAGAAAAUGCCAUCAACCAUCAAGGAGAAGACACCUCUUCAUUUCUCAAAGAGUAGACAAGACUUCAGUUCUGUUUUCACUUUUGUUAAAGGCAGAAUUUUUUCAUCUUUCACUCUUUAAAGAAAUAUCCAAUAUUCCUUUAAUAAUUUUCCAUCCCAAUUCAUGCUGGAACCACCAAAAGUCAUGUCCUCUGUCAGACCUGAAGAUAGUAGAGUUUUACAAAGACUUUUGAAGAUUUCUUUCUUAUAACUGUUAACUUUAUUAUUUAAAGAAAUCCUUGUUAAUAUGCCAGUCUUAUUAAUAUCAAAGUGUAUGAAAAAUAUUUUUUUCUGCAGGUCCCAUGGUGGGACAGCUGUAAGUUUACAGAAUUACAAAGUUGAAUUUUGAGGUUCAGUUCCUUGCAGUGGACACAUCAGAUAGCACAACGUGGCUUUGCUCUAAAAAA